UGACCUCGAAUCAGGUAGGAAUACCCGCUGAACUUAAGCAUAUCAAUAAGCGGAGGAAAAGAAACCAACAGGGAUUGCCCCAGUAACGGCGAGUGAAGCGGCAACAGCUCAAAUUUGAAAUCUGGCCCCCCGGGGCCCGAGUUGUAAUUUGCAGAGGAUGCUUUUGGCGAGGCGCCUUCCGAGUUCCCUGGAACGGGACGCCAUAGAGGGUGAGAGCCCCGUCUGGUUGGAUGCCGAGCCUCUGUAAAGCUCCUUCGACGAGUCGAGUAGUUUGGGAAUGCUGCUCUAAAUGGGAGGUAUAUGUCUUCUAAAGCUAAAUAUUGGCCAGAGACCGAUAGCGCACAAGUAGAGUGAUCGAAAGAUGAAAAGCACUUUGAAAAGAGGGUUAAAUAGUACGUGAAAUUGUUGAAAGGGAAGCGCUUGUGACCAGACUUGGGCCCUGCGGAUCAUCCGGCGUUCUCGCCGGUGCACUCCGCCGGGCCCAGGCCAGCAUCAGUUCGCGCCGGGGGACAAAGGCUUCGGGGAAUGUGGCUCCUCCGGGAGUGUUAUAGCCCCCUGCGUAAUGCCCUGGUGCGGACUGAGGUUCGCGCAUCUGCAUGGAUGCUGGCGUAAUGGUCAUCAGCGACCCGUCUUGAAACACGGACCAA
rnacentral:rRNA from 1 species